rnacentral:tRNA from 1 species
GCCUGGCUGGCUCAGUCAGUAGAGCACGUGACUACUGAUCUUCGGGUUGUGAGUUUGAGCCCCAUGUUGGGCA